AGCUUUACGCAGUGGCGGUAUCAUAACCUAUGAGGUUUAUCUGAGGCAUGAUUAUUGCUAAUUGAAAACUUUUCCCAAUACCCCGGCCAUGAUGACUUGAAAUAUAAUUGGCAUUGGCAAUUUUUGGCAGUCUCUACAGAGA
ensembl:snRNA U4 U4 spliceosomal RNA